UACGAAGGGGGCUAGCGUUGCUCGGAAUCACUGGGCGUAAAGGGUGCGUAGGCGGGUCUUUAAGUCAGGGGUGAAAUCCUGGAGCUCAACUCCAGAACUGCCUUUGAUACUGAGGAUCUUGAGUUCGGGAGAGGUGAGUGGAACUGCGAGUGUAGAGGUGAAAUUCGUAGAUAUUCGCAAGAACACCAGUGGCGAAUGCGGCUCACUGGCCCGAUACUGACGCUGAGGCACGAAAGCGUGGGGAGCAAACAGG
rnacentral:rRNA from 1 species